rnacentral:rRNA from 1 species
GUAGGGAAUAUUGCACAAUGGAGGAAACUCUGAUGCAGCGACGCCGCGUGAGUGAUGAAGGCCUUCGGGUCGUAAAGCUCUGUCGCAGGGGAAUAACACAAUGAAGGUACCCUGUAAGAAAGGAUCGGCUAACUUCGUGCCAGCAGCCGCGGUAAGACGAGGGAUCCUAGCGUUGUGCGGAAUCAUUGGGCGUAAAGCGGAUGUAGGUGGCUAUGUAAGUCAGAUGUGAAAGCCUGGGGCUCAAACCCAGAAGUGCAUUUGAUACUGCGUAGCUUGAGUGUCGGAGAGGUUACUAGAAUUGUUGGUGUAGUGGUGAAAUACGUAGAUAUCAACAGGAAUACCGGAGGCGAAGGCGGGUAACUGGCCGAACACUGACACUGAGAUCCGAAAGCGUGGGGAUCAAACAGGAUUAGAUACCCCUGUAGUCC